rnacentral:lncRNA from 1 species
UGGUUGUGUUAAGACUUGCUCUUAUCCAAUCAGAACAUGAUCAUAAAGCCCAAUCAGAGUAAGCCUGGAGGUUUUUUUCUCAUCCAAUCAAAACAUGCAGUGCAGGAACCUCCAUAGGCAUAACCGCAGUAUAUAAAUGAUGCUGAAGCGUGAUCACGUUUUUUCAGGUUCCUGUAUCUUCCUGUCGAGUUGCUGGCUGCCCGAUGUAGAGGACUAGGAAUCAGGAGUCAGUGGCCGUAUGCUGGAGGCUGGAGCCGAGGGAGCGUGGCUCCCCUCGCUGUGGUUGUUGGCAGCAACGGAGAGAUAGCAGCGCGGCUGGAACGCAUUCAUCAACAACUUUUGAAACAUAUACGAAAAUUAUCUAAAAAUCCUCAAAAUACCAAUUCAGAAGGAACAUCUACAGGAACACCUGACGAGGCUGCACCCUUGGCAGGAAGAACACCUGACACGGCUGAAAGCUUGGUGGAAAAAACACCUGAUGAGGCUGCACCCUUAGUGGAGGGAACAUCUGACAAAAUUCAAUGUCUGGGGAAAGCAACAUCUGGAAAGUUUGAACAGUCAGCAGAAGAAUAUGUUAGGCCAUGUGUCUCUAUAACAGCUAUUGAACUCUGCAUUGUACAGUGAAAGCAGUCAUAGAUAAUGUGUGAGCAAAUAGGCAUGAUUGCACUCCAAUAAAACUUUGUAUAAAAAACCAUUUGGUAAGCUGAAUUUGGCCUGUGAUAUAUAGUUUCCUGGCCCUUCACACAGAAGAUAGAUGGAGUGUAAUUACAUAAAAAGUUUUAAAGACAAAGUAAGCUUUUGUAGUAGUUCAUGCUGUAGUCUUUUUUUUUUUUGUCACCAAUCUGUGGCCUAGUAUCAAUCUAUUAUGAAAAUCUGACCCAUCCAGGGUAAAAUGAAUCAAGUUCAGAAGCUCAAUUUACAGAUUUAAACCUGUAGGUCUUUCUUUGCCAUUAUUUUAUUUUGAUUUGUUUAACUGAAUUUUUUUUAACUUAAAAAAUAACAAUAGUAUUUGGUAGGGUUUCUUUUUCAUGGUGAAAGCCAUCAGUUAAGGGGCCAUGUCUAAGUAGGAAAUAUAAAUAUAACAUAAUAAUAAUAAUAAAAUAAUAAUAAAAAUGGCCUUCAGUUUCAUAUAUUAUUGGAUAUAUUUUCCUCCAGAAUUGGCAUUUCAGCUGAAGAUAAUGUGUGCUUCAAACUUGGAAAUAAAUAAUGCAUUUAAUUAUUUGAUUAAAGAUUGCACAGUGAAUUUAAUGAAGACAUUAUAGUCUUGUAAUGUAAUAUAAACUCAAUCUUCUACUCACAAACAACUUUAAGACAGAAUUUAGGAGGAAUGUCCUUUGGAAAAUUAUCUUUCCUUCCCCCACAGAUGAAUCAAAUAACCAAACGUACUGUUUGGAACAUUUCAUUUUAUCUGGAAUUAACCCUCUGUUGGCAUGUCUUCUUCAUCACUGAAAAUGUAAGAAAGCACAGCCUCAUCAUGAAAAUGCUGGGUAUCCACGUCUCACACAACUUAAAAAUCAUAAUGAGUUGCAGGUUUUAUUGUCAAGAAUUACCCUGUGCUUCAAAAAUGUGCUUGCUCCUUAUGAAGCAAUAUAAACCUUGUUUUUAAUCUUGCAAACUGUAUAUUCUAUUGGAUAUGUCUAUUAAAGAUAGAGUUAUGAGUGAACAAUAAAUGUCUUUCCUGAGAAAGGUGUAUUUUCUGUUGCACUUAGACCUGAAGGUGGUGUAGAAGAUACUUGGCCAAAACUGGGGCAAAGAGGGGUUCCUGUGAAGAAGCAACAGUGAGAGUCUGGUUAUCUACAUAUAAAAGAAUAAAACUGGACCCUUAGACUGUACACAAAAACAACUCAAGGUGGAUUAAAGGCCUACGUGUAAGACCUGAAACUAUAAAACUCCCAGAAGAAAACACAGAGAAAACAACUCCUUGAUAUGGGCCUUGACAAUGGUUUUUUGGCUAUUGGCUAUCACACCAAAAGCUCAGGCAACAAAAGCAAACAAGUGAGACUGCAUCAAACUAAAAAGCUUCUGCACAGCAAACACUCAACAAAAUGAAAAGGCAGCCUGCAGAAUGGGAGAGAAUAUUUACAAACCAUAUAUCAGAUAGGGGUUGAUAUGUGAAAUGAAAAUCUCACACAACUCAGUCAAAAAACAAUCCGACUGAUAAAUGGCCAAAGUAUCUGAAUAGACAUUAUUUAAAAAAGACAUACGAAGGGCAACAAGUAUAUGAAAAGGUGUUCAACAUCAUUAAUCAGAAAAAUGUUAAUCAAAACAACUAUAUCACUUCGCAACUGUUAGGAUGGUUAUUAUAUAAAAAAGAGAUAAGUGUGAUGAGGGUGUGGAAAAAGGAAACUCAUGUUCACUGUUGGUGGGAAAGUAAACUGAUACAGCCAUUUUGGGAAAUGGUAUGAAGGUUCCUCAAAAAUUUAAAAUGGAGCUACUGUAUGACUCCACAAUCCUCCUGCUGGGUAUAUACCCAAAGGAACUGAAAUCAGUAUAUGAAAGCUAUAUCUGUAUUCCCAUGUUUAUUGCGGUAUAAAUAACCAAUAGCCAAGCUAUGAAAACAAUUGGAUAAAGAAAUUAUGAUAUAUAGUUAUAACAUAUUAUAUAUCAUAUUAUAAUCUUAUAUACUCUGUAAUAAUAUAAAUAUUAUGAAUAUAGUAUUCAAUCUUAGAAAAAUUAAAAUUGCCAUUUUUGAUGAUAUGGAUGAACCUGGAUGGCAUUAUGCUAAGUGAAAUAAACCAGACAUGGAAAGAAAAAUACUUCAUGAUCUCACUUAUAUGUGCUAUCUAAAAACAAGCCAAGUAUAUAGAAACAGUAGAAUGGUGGCCAUCAGGGAUAAGGAUUAAGAGGAAAUGAAAAAAAGCAGAUCAAAGGGUACAAACUGGCAGUCAUGUAGG